CUAUUUUAUUUCAUUUAUUAAGUCUAUCAAUUUAUUCGGCUAUCUGUUGAAAUUAUUUACCUUUGCUUGAUGUAUAAUAUUGGUUUGAAUAGAGCCCGCCGGGCCCCAUUUGUUUUUAGCUGACUAGGCAUUUAGGCUUAAAUCUGACUGUUGAAGCUUGCCUAUGCUCUUGACCGUAAUUGUAAAACUUUGAAAGCGGGUCCAUCGUCCCUUGAUUUUGACAUAUAACUGUGGACGGCCAUGUAUGUAGUGUCGAAUCCUUUCUCUAUAUGAGAAAGCAGACGACAGAUUACAUGACGUUCCUCCGUCCUUAUUCAGCAUUUGAAGAUGGCCCAAAACACCACCCAAUGCCUUUUCACCUUUACUUUCAAGUCAAAUGAUUACCUUAAGAUACGUGUGGUAUGUAACCAUGGUAAUAUAAUUGCGAAAAGCCACAGUUAAGUGUUCUACUUUAUUUUUAUUGGGCGGCAGGAGACGACCUGAAGUGAAAAAUAAAGAAUUUAUAUGAAUGGAGGGAAUGUAGCACUCUAACAUCAGAGGUCACCAGACAUCCUGUUGGAUUAGAUGCUAAGGUCAUGGAAAGUCUUUGAUAUUCUCAAUCGAAGCACAAACAAAAUUAUGAAAUAUGACUUUAUUAACUCAGGAAUUGGAAUACCAAGUGUUUAUCAUGUUGUGGUAGUUAUUUUUCUGGAAUACUUUGCCUGGGGGCUUUUGACAACCACUUCU